rnacentral:rRNA from 1 species
AUUGAACGCUGGCGGCAUGCCUUACACAUGCAAGUCGAACGGGGUGAUGUAGCUUGCUACAUUACCUAGCGGCGGACGGGUGAGUAAUGCUUAGGAAUCUGCCUAUUAGUGGGGGACAACAUUCCGAAAGGAAUGCUAAUACCGCAUACGCCCUACGGGGGAAAGCAGGGGAUCUUCGGACCUUGCGCUAAUAGAUGAGCCUAAGUCAGAUUAGCUAGUUGGUGGGGUAAAGGCCUACCAAGGCGACGAUCUGUAGCGGGUCUGAGAGGAUGAUCCGCCACACGGGGGAGGAGACACGGCCAAGACUCCAACGGGAGGCAGCAGGGGGGAAUAUUGGAAAAUGGGCGCAAGCCUGAUCCAGCCAUGCCGCGUGUGUGAAGAAGGCUUUUUGGUUGUAAAGCACUUUAAGCGAGGAGGAGGCUACUUGGAUUAAUCCUCUAGGAUAGUGGACGUUACUCGCAGAAUAAGCACCGGCUAACUCUGUGCCAGCAGCCGCGGUAAUAC